GACAGAGGUGCCAAGCGUUAGGCGGAAUCACUGGGCUUAAAGCGUGUGUAGGCGGAUCUAUAAGUACCUUGUGAAAUCCCACGGCUUAACCGUGGAACUGCUGGGUAUACUGUGGAUCUUGAGCCAACUAGGGGCUACCGGAACAAAUGGUGGAGCGGUGAAAUGCGUAGAGAUCCGGAGGAACACCGACGGCGCAGGCAGCGUCCUGGCCGCUUGCUGACACUGAGGCACGAAAGCUGGGGGAGCAAACAGG
rnacentral:rRNA from 1 species